UGGGGAAUCUUAGACAAUGGGCGAAAGCCUGAUCUAGCCAUGCCGCGUGAGUGACGAAGGCCCUAGGGUCGUAAAGCUCUUUCGCCAGGGAUGAUAAUGACAGUACCUGGUAAAGAAACCCCGGCUAACUCCGUGCCAGCAGCCGCGGUAAUACGGAGGGGGUUAGCGUUGUUCGGAAUUACUGGGCGUAAAGCGCGCGUAGGCGGAUUGGAAAGUAUGGGGUGAAAUCCCAGGGCUCAACCCUGGAACUGCCUCAUAAACUCCCAGUCUAGAGUUCGAGAGAGGUGAGUGGAACUCCGAGUGUAGAGGUGAAAUUCGUAGAUAUUCGGAAGAACACCAGUGGCGAAGGCGGCUCACUGGCUCGAUACUGACGCUGAGGUGCGAGAGUGUGGGGAGCAAACAGGAUUAGAUACCCUGGUAGUCCACACCGUAAACGAUGAAUGCCAGUCGUCGGCAAGCAUGCUUGUCGGUGACACACCUAACGGAUUAAGCAUUCCGCCUGGGGAGUACGGUCGCAAGAUUAAAACUCAAAGAAAUUGACGGGGGCCCGCACAAGCGGUGGAGCAUGUGGUUUAAUUCGAAGCAACGCGCAGAACCUUACCAACCCUUGACAUCCUGAUCGCGGAUAGUGGAGACACUUUCCUUCAGUUCGGCUGGAUCAGUGACAGGUGCUGCAUGGUUGUCGUCAGCUCGUG
rnacentral:rRNA from 1 species